CCAAACUUUUCCUAAAAUUUACUUUGAAAUUUUCAUUUUCCCUCUCAACAAAAUUUCUCACUAGAAAAAUAAAAGUUUCCCUCUCACCCUCGUCUCUCUGAUUCCCUGUGGUUUCCAAGUUCCAUUUCAACCAUUCUUCAAAAAUCAUAAUCUACUAGUGGUUCGAUUGUGUUUUUGCAGUUUUCAUCACGAAUCUAGUUCAUACUCUUGAGGCACGAUGUGUACAACAAUAUUGGGUUUCUUAUCUUAUAACAACGCCCCUAGCCCUAGGUGGUCGUUUGGUGUUUCUAGUCAAAAAUUAUCAUCGAUCGUGUUUGUUUGAUUAAUUGAUUAGAGGUAUUGAAUAUGCCGUAUCCAACAAUGAUAUCCCGGGCAGAGCAACUUGUUAACCUUGAAUAUGUCAGCAAGGAGGUGGGUUGAUGAGAGAGAUUAGGAAGAGUUGCAGAGGGAGUGGUGUGGUGGAACCUGUUUAGAGGGAGAAUUGAGGGUUUCGGUGGUGGUUAGGUGGAGUUGGGUGGUGACAUGGUGGUUGUAGGUGGUGGUGUUAGGAGGAAGAAGAGGUUGAGGGGUGGUGGUGUUAGGAGGAAGAAAUCGAUUUGAGAAGUCUGGUGGGACGACGCAUGAUUAUAGACGGCAGAACGGUUUGAACUCUCACCGAUUUCUACUUGAGGUUGGAGAUGAAGUUUUCCUCAAAAGCAUUCUAAACUCUACCGAGAUUGUAGCAAGAGGAAGAGUCCAAAGUUUGGACCCAAAUGAUCUAGUUGGUGGUACAGAGAUUGGACCAGAAUGGUGUGAGGUAAACGUUCAAGUACCAAUAAAAAAAGAUGAAAACUUAGUAAGACCAUAUGGUUUAUUUUCUACAAUUCAAGAUUUUAUUGGUGCAUCCAUCGCAUGGCCCUAUCCAUUCAUCUCGGUAGUCCAUGAGGAUUGAGUACGCAUGAUGACUCAAGAUUUUAUACUUCUUAUUUCUUUAAUUGCUUUUAAUUUCUUUGUUAAAUGCUAAGACUUUAUGUUAGAUAAUGUUAUCACUUAUUUAUGGUUGAUGUUUUUGUUAUGAACAUGCUUAUUUGAAAUAUUGUGAAGUUUUAUUUCUUUCAAUAGUUGAUGUUAUACAAUAACUAUUAGGAUGUUAUA